rnacentral:lncRNA from 1 species
CUUUGCUUGUCUAGUGAAUUUUUAUUAAAUAUAUUAUGAAUGUUAUAAUAAUGGGUGUUAAUUAUUAUUUUUCUCUAAGGAGGGCUUAAGUUUGUCUUGUUAGGCAAUUAAGUUACUUGCAAAUCAUAUUAAUGUAUUCAAAACUUAUUUUUAAGCUUUGUUAGGGUUGUCCAAAGUAGCCCUAACUCUAGGGCUAAUUAAGCGAAACUACCAACACAUGAUUCUCUAGGUUCUUUACCGACUUCCUUGAGGCUCAGUGGGGUUUCUCAGCUCUGGCUGGAAGGGAUUUGAGUAUCUCUUAACCUUGCUUAAACUCUAGGAGUUGUGCAGGUUACAGUUCCCGGAGUAUUUUUCCUGAGCAGUUACUAUUUGUGCAGCUUUGUGGAGUUUUGUUGUAUCCAUGCAUAGUUAAGGGGGCCUUUAUGCAUAUUUCUCUACAGAAAUUGUUACUCUCCAAUAAUUUGCCCUGCAAAUUCUGGCUGUCUCAUCCUCCCACAAGUUCAAUAUUUGUCUUUUCAGCUUAGCAACAUUUCUUUUGCAUUUCUUGGGAUCUUCCUCCCUUUGCCAUCUUCCAGAAAUUGUCUAUAGGCAGAAAGCAAGGGCAAUAGUAGGCUUCACCUCUGUUUUCCUUUUCUCAGUGAUCACAGUCCCACUCUGCCUGUUCUCUCAAUGUCUGAAAGAUUUGUUUUAUGUAUUUUGCCUAAGUUUCUAGUUAUUUGUGCUAAGUAGGCUGGUUUUGUACCAGAAGCAGAAAUCAACUAAAGAUGAAUUUUAGGGAAGAGUUCUGGAAUAUGCCUCAUUGGCCAGAACUGAAGCUAUCUAUACCUACAAAGGAGACUGGAAAUGCAGCUUCUUCUGGGAAAAUAAAACAAAGGAGAGCAGAUUUUGUGAAAGAGUGAGCAUUAUAUACCAUCAUUGGAUAGUUGUUAGCUCACUUACCAGCGUAGCAACUUCUUGAGUGGAGGGUCAGAGCUUUCCUCAUUUCAGUAGCCUAUGAAGAGCCUGGUGCUCAUGACGUUCUUAGGAAAAAAACAUUGAAAAGAACAUGAUCCUGAGUACUGAACUCAUAAUUAGGCAUGAAGAAAGGAGACAAUGUAUGGUGGGUGAAAGUGGCAGAGAGAGUUGGAGACAAGGUUGGAAAUUAUCUUGGAGCUCCAAAUGCAUUGGCUCAUAGAUUAUUUUAAAACUCUGUUGAGGAAUCCGGGACUACAGAGCCCUGUUGUUCCCCUCACCUCCAAUGUCCUUUUCCAGACACCCAUGUCAUGUGUUUUAAAGCUCAGAUCAUAGAUCAUAAGCGAGCUACUAGAUGGAGCCUUCUCUGAUGUCCUACUUGUGGCACAGUUUUUCUACAGCAUGGUUUCUGUCAAGUUUUCAAAGCAUAUAAUGAUUCAUACUGCUGAUUUCUACCCUCAAGAAAGUGGAAUCUAUUCGGAAUUUCAAAAUAAAAACAAAGUUGUCUUUUAUUUCUGUUACUUUUUUACUUCCGUCACAAUGCCUGCCACCGUGAACACAAAGCAUAUUAAAUAAGAUCACUGUUCCUUGACCUGGUGUCAAGCAGCUGUUUGGAAGUUGUUUGUGUGUCAGUUGAGACAUAAUAAUAGAAUAAGCAUCCUGACAUCACUUGCCCUCUGACCACCAGUAGUGAUAGGGCUUGCUUUACUCAAGGAGGAAGUCCUUAACAACUCGAUCUACCCAGGCAAACACAACAAUCAUUCAGCUUUUUGUUUCAUUUUUUCCUUAACCUAUCACCAUGAAACAAAAUACACACAUAUAGAAAUGAGCAAAGAGCUUUAAAUACUAGCUGCCCAAGAGAUGCUUAGCCUCCUGUUCCAGCCACUGGAGUUGAGGGGUGGAGGCACGUGAUGUCACGGAAAGGGAAUGCUCGCUAGUCUUCAAGCAGUCCCCUAAGGUAAGGCUGGAGGAAGGAGGUGGUGAAGAGGGCUCCUGAGUUCCUUCAUUUGACGGCGCUGAUCAUACAGGUACAGGUGGAACAGUAAGCUCAGAGCCAUUCCUUAGACCUAGAGACUGGCCUUUUCACCUAUAUAAAAUAAUACUGUGUAAUAUUAUUUCAAGUAGAGGUAGGAAAAUAACCCUUAGGAUUUAGUACCCUCGGCCUGGUGGGCGAGCAGAAAUAAAAGUUAAUUCCAAACAAAGACUUUAACUACCACAAUUCUGCCCAUGUUUCCCUCCAGGGAUCUUUGAUCUCAGGCUGAAUGGAGGAAGAAGAGCUUUUCUAGUUGACGCCUGUCACAGAGAUCUGAUGAAGUCAAUGUAAAUGAGUCCGCAGAAGCUUGAUAGCCUAUAGAAGUCCUUGAAAAUCCCGAAUGGCACGAGAAGGUUGAAAACUAGUCAAGAUGCUGAUAUCUUCAAGAAGUUAAAUAUAACCUAAAAAAAUUAUUUGUCACAGAAUAAGGUUGGUUUAAAAAAUUGUAAAGGGGAGGAGAGUGGAGAUUCAAGCCUAGAGAGGAAGGCUGAAUAAGAAGAAAGUAAUUGUGAAGUCAACUGUAAAAUAUUUCCUGGGUCUCACCUGGUAAAUCCACACGGGCUUCCUGAAAGAGGAAGGCUAGAGUUACUUUUGAGUUGCCUUUCAAAUGAUAAGCAGGGUCCUUGAGUAAACAGGAAAUGAAAGACUCGAGAGAGUAGCUGAGGAAGGAUGCAGAAGUGAAAAGGAGAGGGGAGCCAUCAGCACCCCAGAUUUAAUUUGAUGGAGAAUUUUCUCUAUUUGUUUAUGUGUGUGCCCGUCUUUAUUAGACUGUCUGUUUGCCUUUCAAGGGCUGGGACUGUGCCUCAUUCACCUUCAUAUUCUAGUAUAAUGCAAGCUUAGGAAAUUAUUGUCUAAAUACAUACACUCAGACAUAAAUGGAUGAGAGUAAGAAUAAAGGCAUAAGUGGUGGUAUUUAGCAGCAGCCUUGGCUGUGAGCUUAAGACUGUUUUUUGUGACCUGCCAUCUUCCUUUGCGCAACAACACAGCUCAUGAUGAUGUUCCAGAGCAUUUUGCCACCAGAAAAUGAGGCUUGCUUUUGGUCUUUUGAAGGAAGACUGCAGUGAACAGUUAAAUUGACUUUAAAUUUAGCAGCAUUGGGCAAGAAUAGAAAUGUUCUAAUCCUGUCUCCUCCUACGGAAUGUGAAUUGUGGUCAAAGUAAUAUGUUUUUGCCUUCUGUGAUUUCGAUCAAAUUUCAUAGGCCAGACAGGGCGUAGGGAGCCAGGCUGCACAGCCACUCUCCCUGGUAAACAGUGUCACACCUCCCUUGGACAGCCCAGGGUACCAUGUGUGCCCUGGCGUUACAGACACCUCACCAGGGCUUGUCUGUUCUCCCUGCCUUGUUUCUCAGCCCAGUGUUCAUGUGGAGUUUGGCUUCCUCUUCUUAGAACUGGGAAAGGCAACGCUGUGCAGGUGUGAGAGGUACAUACACAUGCGCCCAGAAGAUGCUGCCCCAGAAAAACAUACCCAGGGCCUGUAUUUGACUCAGAGUUUAAGGUCUUACUUUUCAUUAGAAAAUAAGAUCACUAGCUCUAAAAUUUCCACUGGGGAAGACUGGGUUGGCUUAGCAGGGCAGUGCUAUCUGAUGGGCAGCUGUAUUCUAUAAAGUAGAUGAGGGAAGAUGACAGAAUGGCAUGUCUGUGGGCAGAAAGCAGAAGGGAAAUUGGCUUCCCUUCAUAGGCCACUAAGGAAAGGGUUAUCCAGUGGCCUGCUGGAUUUGACACUAUCUGCCUGCCACAUCUGAGCUCAGCAUUUUUGCUUUGACACGCAUGGGUCAUUCUACCCAUUGAGCUUCAGCAAUUCCCUAUUACAGAUGCUUAUUGGCAACAGAAUCUUAAGUCCAAUAAAGGAGCAAAGAGAUUUUACUUUGGAAGGAAAUACUAUGGAUUCUUCAGUCAUUCAGAGGCCUCACCUCCUCCCUUAAUGAGUGCUCCCAAUGUAAAGGUAUAAUGACUGGCUAACUAAAUGCUUUGGGGGUAUAGGAAUGAGGACACACAUCUAGAAAAGUGGAUUUUAGAAGAAGAAAAGACAGUAUAAUGAAAACAAGUUUAAGAAAGAGCAAAAAUAAAAUUUGACUUAUGUAUAUCAAUUGUGAUGAACUGUAAUUAUGCAUUACAUGGAACAAGUCUACACAAUCAGAUAAGAAUUCUUCACUAAUUUCCUCUUUAUUUGUCUAUGUCAUAAUCCACACUAGGGAAGAAACAACCUCUACUUUUUAAAAGUCACAAAUAUUAAGCCUAUAAAAAUAUCAAUAUCUUAUCAAAGUUUAGCUCAAAUUUAUACAGGAAAACAAAGGUUCAUUCCAACCCACCUAGCUUCUUCUGAUGGUUUAUUAAGUAGUAUUUAAGAAAAUUGAGUCUCAUAUUAUCUGGCCAAAAGAUAUUUUUCUUGCCUCUGUAUUAUUAAACAACACUUACUGAGACUAUUCAUCAGAUGUCCAGAUUAAUCUUGACGGUGAAGAAUACAUGAACUCUAUAUGCAAUCUUAAAAAGGAGUAAUAUAAUAUGCUAGUUUUCUCUUUCGUGUCCAUUCCUCAAAACUUGAUUAUUAUUAGGUUAGGCUCAUCCUUUACUAAUUACCUUUAGUUAAGAUUUCUUAGUUUGCAAAAAUUAUUGAAUUUAUAUUGACUUAACUGAAUGAGCAUUUGAAAACUGUCUCUCAUAGUUCAUCAUGAGUACUGAAUUGUUCCUCCUCUUUUUCUUUAAGUUUCUUCUCUUUACUACAUAUUUUUCCCCAACCAGUUAUUUUUGUUGUUGUUAUUUGCUUCUUAAAAAUUCUGUGAGGCUUAUUUUUAGAAUAUUUUAUAAAUCUGGCUAUGUCUAAGAAUGGCAAACUAUGAUAAUUGAUGUACUUAAUAUUUGCUAACACAUGUCUAUUCCACUGUCAAUGAAAAGACUGUGCUUGCUUUGAUCAAGAAUUAGCCAAAAUUUGGAACUCUCAGAAAGCUAUUUAUUUAUUCCAGAACAAAGCAUUUGGUUUGUACUACCAUCAAAAUAUUCUAAGUGGCUAGUUACACUGGUAAAAAAAAUAAGAUAUCUCUUUUGUUCAGGCCUUCAGAAUUUUAACAUCAUACAAAAUCAAUAAAGCUCUUAAAUGUAAA